rnacentral:rRNA from 1 species
UACAGAGGUCUCAAGCGUUGUUCGGAUUCAUUGGGCGUAAAGGGUGCGUAGGCGGCGCGGUAAGUCGGGUGUGAAAUCUUGGAGCUCAACUCCGAAACUGCAUUCGAUACUGCCGUGCUUGAGGACUGGAGAGGAGACUGGAAUUUACGGUGUAGCGGUGAAAUGCGUAGAUAUCGUAAGGAAGACCAGUGGCGAAGGCGGGUCUCUGGACAGUUCCUGACGCUGAGGCACGAAGGCCAGGGGAGCAAACGGG